UCCUUAGAUGAAAUGGAUAAAUUAUUAGAAAGAUAUAACCUGCCAAGACCGAAACAGGAAGAAAUAGACUAUAUGAACAGACCAAUCACAAGUACUGAAGUUGAAACUCUAAUUGAGGAGUUCCCACUGUGGCACAGUGGGUNGGGAAAAAAACCAAAACAAAACAAAAACAAAAAAAAAAACAAGUACUGAAGUUGAAACUCUAAUUGAGGAGUUCCCACUGUGGCACAGUGGGUUAAGGAUCUGGCAUUGCCAUAGCUGUGGCAUAGGUCACAGCUGCAGCUUGGAUUCAGUCCUUGGCCCAGGAACUUCCAUAUGCCAUAGAUGUAGCCAAACAAGAAAAAGAAACUGAUUGAAAAACUUCCAACAAAUAAAAGUCCAGGACCAAAUGGCUUUUGCAGGUAAAUUCUAUCAAACACUUAGAGAAAAGUUAACACCUGUCCUGAAACUCUUCCAAAAUCUCCUCCAAAAAUCACAGAGGAAGGAAUACUCCCAAACUCAUCCUAUGAAGCCACCAUUACCCUUAUACCAAAACCAGGUAAAGAUACAACAAAAAAAAAAAAUUACAGGCCAAUAUCACUGAUGAACAUAGACACAAAAAUUCUCAACAAAAUAAUUGCAACCUGAGUCCAAUAAUACAUUAAAAGGAUCAUACAACAUGAUCAAGUGGGAUUUAUCCCAGAGAUGCAAGGAUUCUUCUGUAUCCACAAAUCAAUGUGAUAUAUCACAUUAACAAGUUAAAGAGUAAAACGCAUAUACAUGAUCAUCUCAAUAAAUGUAGGAAAGCUUUUGACAAAAUCCAACACCCAUUUCUGAUUAAAAAAAAAAAAAAACCCUUGAGAAAGUGGGCAUAGAGGGAACCUACCUCAGCAUAAUAGAGGCCAUUUAUGACAAAUCCACAGCUAACAUCAUUCUCAAUGGUGAAAAACUGAAAGCACUUCCUCUAAGAUCAGGAAUAAGACAAGGAUGUCCACCCUUGCCACUUUUAUUCAACAGUUUUGGAAUUCCUAGCCAUGGCAAUCAGAAAAGAAAUAAAAAUAACCCAAAUUGGAAAAGAAGUAAAAUUGUCACUGUUUGCAGAUACUAUACAUAGAAAAUCCUAAGAUGCUAUUAGAAAACUUUAAGAGCUCAUAAGUGAAUUUGGUAAAAUUGCAGGAUACAAGGUGGAUAUACAGAAAUCUUUUGCAUUCCUAUACACUAACAAUGAAAUAUCAGAAAGAGAAGGAAACAAUCCCAUUUACCAUUACAUCAAAAAGAAUAAAUUACCUAGGAAUAAACCUACCUAAGGAGGCAAAUGACAUGUACUCUGAAAACUGUUAAGACACUGAUGAAAGAAAUCAAAGAUGACACAAAAAAAUGGAAAUAUAUAUCAUGACGGAGUUCCCGUCAUGGCUCAGUGGUUAACGAAUCUGACUAGGAACCAUGAGGUUGCAGGUUUGAUCCCUGGCCUUGCUCAGUGGGUUAAGGAUCUGGCGUUGCCAUGAGCUGUGGUGUAGGUUGCAGACAUGGCUCGGAUCCCAUGUUGCUGUGGCUCUGGAGUAGGCCAGUGGCUACAGCUCCGAUUUGACCCCUAGCCUGGGAACCUCCGUAUGCCGUGGGAGCACAGUGACAGUGCCAGAUCAUUAACUAAGCCACCAGAGAAUCUUUUUCUUUUCUUUUUUUUUUUUUAACAACAGGAAGAAGAUAUUUGACUUCACCACUGGUGUUCAACAUUGUACUGGAAGUCCUAGCCAGAGAAAUUAGCCAAGAAAAAUAAAAGGCAUCCAAAUUAUAAAGGAAGAAUUAAAACUAUCUCUACAGAUGACAUGAUUCUAUAUAUAGAAAAUCCUAAAAUAUCCACAGAAAAAUCUAGAGCAAUAAAUUAAGUAAAAUUACAGGACAUAGGACCAGCACACAAAAAUUAGUUAUAAUUAAUAAUCCAAAAAUGAACUUUAAAAAUCCUAUUUAUAAUAGCAUCCAAAACAAUAACAUACAUAGGAAUAAAUUUAACCUCUAAAUAGAGGGAAAGAUUUGUAUACUGAAAACUAUAAAACAUUGCGAACAAUAUUAAAACCACAAUUAAAUGGAAAGACAUUCCAGUUUUGAUUGGAAAACGCAAUAGUGUCAUAUUAGUGUACUAGGUUUGCCAUAACAAAAUACUGCAGAUUGGAUGGCUUAAACAACAGAAAGUUAUUUCUCAUAGUUCUGGAAACUGGGUAAUCAAGAUCAAGGUGUCGGCAGAUGAGAGGCUUUCUCCUUGACCUGCAGAUGGCCAUUUUCUUGCUGUGCCCUCACAUGGCCUUUUCUCUGCAUGUGCAUAUUCCUGGUAUUUCUUCCUCUUCAUAAAGAACACAGCUCCUACUAAGAGUCCCAUUCUUAAGGCAUCAUUUAACCUUAAUUGACUCCUUUAGAAUGCUAUCUCUAAAUAUAUUCACACUGUGCGUCAGGGCUUCAACAUAAGAGUUGUUGGGACACAAUUCAGUCCAUAACAACUGGUAAGAUGGCAGUAGUCUGAAAAGCAAUCUAUAGAUUCAAUGCAAUCUCCAUCAGAAUUCUAAUAGUCCUUUUUUUUUUUUUACUUUUGCAGAUUGCAAAACCCGACCCUCAAAUUCAUAUGAAAUUUCAAGGGGCCCAAAUAAUCAAAACAACAUUGAAAAAGGAAAACAAAGUUUGAAGACUCAAACACCCCAAUUUGAUCCAUGAGGACACAGGUUUGAUCCCUGGCCUUGCUCAGUGGGUUAGGGAUCUGGCGUUGCCAUGAGCUGUGUUGUAGGUCACAGACAUGGCUCAGAUCUGGCCUUGCUGUGGUGUAGGCCACUGGCUACAGCUGAUUCAACCCAUAGCCAGGGGACUUCCAUAUGCCACGGGUGUGGCAUGGGUUUGAUCCCUAGCUCUGGUAUCAAAAUGCUGCAGGUAUGGCAAAAAACCCCCAAACAGCUAAGUAAGUGAAGAGACAUAUUGUGCUUAUGGAUUGGUAAAAAUUUCAAUUUUUUCCCAAAUGAUAUAAAAGUAUGUAAUGCAAUUCUAUCAAAAUCUAAGCAGGACUUUUGAAAAAACAGGCUGACUCAAAGUUAUAUGUAAACAAAGGAAUUAGGAUAAAGCAAUUUUGAGAAAGAAGGAUAAAGGGAGAAGUCACCAUGUAGCUACCGUAAUGAAGACAGUGAGGUGUUAGUAGAGGGAGAGAUACAUGAGUCAGUGGAACAGAACAGAGUUCAGAAACAGACUCACAUGAGUAGGCCACUUGAUCUUUUACAAAAGUACAAAACAACUAAAUAGAGAAAUGAUAAAUUUAACAAAUAGUGUUGAAAAAAUUAGACAUCAUAGGUUUAAAAAAAAAGAAAAAUGAACCUUGACUUAAAUCUUAGACUAGGUAAUAGCCAUAUUAAACUUUAAAAUGUGCAUCCAGGAGUUCCCGUCGUGGCUCAAUGGUUAACGAAUCUGACUAGGAACCCUGAGUUUGUGCGUUCGAUCCCUGGCCUUGCUCAGUGGGUUAAGGAUCUGGCAUUGCCGUGAGCUGUGGUGUAGGUUGCAGACGCGGCUCGGAUCCCACGUUGCUGUAGCUCUGGUGUAGGCCAGCGGCUUCAGGUCCGAUUCGACCCCUAGCCUGGGAACAUCCAUAUACCAUGGGAGCGGCCCAAGAAAUGGCAAAAAGACAAAAAACAAAACAAAACAAAACAAACAACAACAAAAAAACCCACUUAAAAUGUGCAUCCAGAAACUUACUUUUUUUUCUUUUUUGGCUGCCCUGCAGCAUAUGGAGUUCCUGGGCCAAGGAUCAGAUUCAAGCCAUAGUUGUAGUAAUGCAGAAUUCUUAAUCCACUGUAUUGGGCUGGGGAUUGAACCUGUGUCCCAGCGCUCCAAGAUGCCCUGGCACCACAGCAGGAACUCCAAUAUAUUUAUAAUGCAAAUAUUUGACAAAUGAUUUGUAACCGGAAUAUAUUAUAACACUAAAAAUAAGAAAAAUUUAAUUACCCAUUAGGGCUACAUCCAGUGGCAGUAAGGUAAGUUUGUCUCUGCUUCACCAACAGGGUAGUGUCAAGUUGGAUGAACUUCCACGCUGGCUCAAAAGCAAUGAGGUAGAAUUAGGUGGUUCCCAGGCAGUGUUGUUCACCAAUCAGCUUUGUACCUUCCUCCAUGUUAUCAGGACCCAAUGCUGAACUUCCAACGCUACUCAACAAACUGUAGCAACUGGGUGGUGCUAGCUGAUGCUCUGUUUUCCCUCCUUCAUCCUCCCCACCUGUUCUAACUAGGCUGAAUAGAGAGCUUAACUUUCAUGCCCAUCCAGUGAAAAUGAGGUGGGUGUCAGUGCUCUACUUUUGCUUGAGUGGAAUCUGUGGAGCUCAUUAGGGUGCAGAAUAUCCACUCCAACCUGGAUUUCCUAGCUACACCUACAAAGGGUGACUGCCUACAAAAUAGAAGGAUAAAGAGGACCUAUUCUGUUGAUACCCAAAAUGUCCAGAAUAGAACUAAAAAUCCUUCAUCAUAUGAAACAAGAAAAUCUCAAGCUGAAUGGAAAAACAAGACAUAUCAACACCAUGAUGACUAAUUUAUCUGACAAAUUCAAAACAGUAAUCUUAGAAAUUCUUCAGUGAUGGAGUUCCCAUCAUGGCUCAGUAGUUAACGAAUCCAACUAGGAACCAUGAGGUUGUGGGUUCGAUCCCUGGCCUCACUCAGUGGGUUAAGGAUCUGGCAUUGCCGUGAGAUGUGGUGUAGGUCACACAUUGCUGUGGCUCUGGCGUAGGCCAGCAGCUACAGCUCAGAUUACACCCCUAGCCUGGAAACCUCCAUAUGUCGUGGGUGCGGCCCUAGAAAAAGACAAAAAAAAAAAAAA
rnacentral:lncRNA from 1 species